rnacentral:lncRNA from 1 species
CGAUAUUUAGGGUUUUAGACCGCUAUAAAUUGCGGUGAACGAAACAGCAGCAGCAGUCGAAGAUUAUAUCAUCGUUUCGAGUUACAGCGUUUCAGAUCCGUGCUUCCAUGGGUUAAUCUCAACCUCUUUCUUCAAUCUUAUGCAUCCUACUUGUAUUUUUCAAUUAUUAUCUGCAGUGAACUUUUCAUCGCAAAUAGUCGGCAUAUGCUCUCGAUGAUUGAACUUCAAUCUAAUAGUUUCAGCCUUGUCCGAAUUUGUUCAUGUUGGAAACUAGUUUUGUUCUGAGAGAGCUUUCUUCUUCUCGGCGCUUUUUUAAAAAUGUUUUUUAUAUCAACAUUUUCGAUCAGUCACAGCUCCGUCUAAUGUGGUAAAAUACUUUUCAAUCAUUAUCUACCAUUUCAUGUUCUUUCUAUUGUUUUACCAAGUGAAUAUUGUUCAAAUUACUUUAUUUUCCUUUAUUAACUUUUAUCAUCCAGACAAAUUAAUAUGUAAUGCUUUCAUUAACCUCUCACUUUAAACUCAGAUGUUUUAUAGUAGGCCACAACAAAUUAUCUUAUUUAUUUAAUAAUUAAAUAAAUGUUUA